rnacentral:rRNA from 1 species
UGCAGAGGUCUCGAGCGUUAGGCGGAAUCACUGGGCUUAAAGCGUGUGUAGGUGGAUGCCUAAGUACCUUGUGAAAUCCCACAGCUUAACUGUGGAACUGCUUGGUAUACUGCUUAUCUUGGGCCAGCUAGGGGCUACCGGAACAAGUGGUGGAGCGGUGAAAUGCGUAGAUAUCACUUGGAACGCCAAUGGUGAAAACAGGUAGCUGGGGCUGUGCCGACGCUGAGACACGAAAGCCAGGGGAGCGAACGGG